AUUAUGUUGAUUAAUAGAUAAUGGUUUCAUAUUUCUAUUGCAGAUUGUUUAGGCUAAUCUCUUUGAUUAUUUAAGUGGAUUAUUUUUGAGUAAAUAUUUCUGGGUCUUCAAUAUAAUAGUUGGGCUGAGUUUGUUUAUUAAAUGCUACACACAUGAUGACUCUGCUGGGCCACAUAAACUUCUUUUUAUUUUCCCACAUGAUAAAGAACAUGCAUGUCUGAGAACCAGUCAGAGCAGUAGUUUCUUAUCUUUGAGAUACUUUCAUCUGUCAUUUAUUUCCUUAUCUCAUGAAGUUAUUAAGCCUUC
rnacentral:lncRNA from 1 species